CGGGAGCCGGAGCGGGAGCAGGAGCAGGACUGGGAGCAGGAGCGGGAGCAGGAGCAGGAGCAGGCCGAGCCAGAAGAUCAAGACAGAAACUCUUUUAGCACAGUCGAAGACGAGGGACGUGACGAUAAUCUGGCUUUUCAAAUGUCAAAUGACCUUGAGGACGAGGGUCUCUACCAACGUGUGAUUUGACUAUAAACCUUUACAAUAUAAAACAGAUGAUGAAACCAGUCCAGACCCUGAACAUUUCUACAGCCAACUUCAGAAAAGAGCCCCAGACCACAGGUCAGACUAGGAGCUGCUGUUAAAAUAAACCACGUGAUUGGCUGACUUUGAUGGUGACUGUGUAUAAUUGUGCUGAAGAAUGUAAUGUUCGUGAUGAUGUGGUUGGGGUCACUGACGUUUGCAAAGGGAAGUUUUAGUCUCAUGACAAACUUUAUGACCUUAAAGGAUUGGAAGCAUCUCAAAAAGAAUACAAAAUAAAAAAAACAUAUUUUAUCAUGUCUUAUUUAAAAUGUAGUAAAAGGAUCUCAAAAUAUUACGAAGCAGAAUGGAAAGAAAAGCAGUUUGUAAUUUAAGGUGUCAAGAUGAGAUUUCUCCAGUAGAGGGCAAUGUAAUGACGUUACUGGCUGUAUGUUCUUCCUUAUCUGGACUUUUCUUUUUUUAUUAAUAUUGAUGUAAUGAUAUAUUCAUGUUUUUGUGUCUACUUUACUGGUACCGUAGACUUUAAUCAUAUUAAAAACACAGCUCAAAAAAA